UUUACGGAGAGUUUGAUCCUGGCUCAGGACGAACGCUUGCGGCGUGCCUAAGAAAUGCAAGUCGAACGGACAUCUUCGGAUGUUAGUGGCGAACGGUCGCGUAACACGUAAGCAACCUGCCCAGAAGUGGGGGACAACAGCCUGAAAGGGCUGCUAAUACCGCAUGUGAACAACGAUUGGCAUCUUUUGUUGUUUAAAGCUUAAUGCGCUUCUGGAUGGGCUUGCGGCCUAUCAGGUAGUUGGUGGGGUAACAGCCUACCAAGCCGACGACGGGUAGCUGGUCUGAGAGGACGAUCAGCCGGAUUGGGACUGAGAUACGGCCCAGACUCCUACGGGGGGCAGCAAUUAGGAAUCUUGCGCAAUGGGGGCAACCCUGACGCAGCGACGCCGCGUGUGGGAUGACGGUCUUCGGAUUGUAAACCACUUUUGCCGAGGAAGAAGAAUGUGACGGUACUCGGUGAAUAAGCCCCGGCUAACUACGUGCCAGCAGCCGCGGUAAUACGUAGGGGGCGAGCGUUGUCCGAAGUUACUGGGCGUAAAGCGCGCGUAGGCGGCUUCUUAAGUCUGGGGUGAAAGGUUCAACGCUCAACGUGAACAGUGCCUUGGAUACUGGGAAGCUUGAAUGUGGCAGAGGAUAGUGGAAUGGCUGGUGUAGCGGUGAAAUGCGUAGAUAUCAGUCGGAACACCCAUGGCGAAGGCAGCUAUCUGGGCUAACACUGACGCUGAGGUGCGAAAGCGUGGGGAGCAAACGGGAUUAGAUACCCCGGUAGUCCACGCCGUAAACGAUGAGUGCUAGGUGUAGGCGGUAUCGACCCCGCCUGUGCCGUCGCUAACGCAUUAAGCACUCCGCCUGGGGAGUACGGCCGCAAGGUUGAAACUCAAAGGAAUUGACGGGGGCCCGCACAAGCGGUGGAGCAUGUGGAUUAAUUCGUCACUAACCGAAGAACCUUACCCAGGCUUGACAUCUAUCGCACCGCCAUGAAAGUGGCGUUCCCUUCGGGGACGGUAAGACAGGUGUUGCAUGGCUGUCGUCAGCUCGUGUCGUGAGAUGUUGGGUUAAGUCCCGCAACGAGCGCAACCCUCAUUGUAUGUUGCCAGCGUAAAGUCGGGAACUCUUACAAAACUGCCCGUGCAAGCGGGAGGAAGGUGGGGAUGACGUCAAGUCGGCAUGGCCCUUACGCCUGGGGCUUCACACAUGCUACAAUGGACGGCACAAAGGGCAGCAAUACCGCGAGGUGGAGCGAAUCUCAAAAAUCCGUCCUCAGUUCGGAUUGCAGGCUGCAACUCGCCUGCAUGAAGCUGGAAUCGCUAGUAACCGCAGGUCAGCUAAACUGCGGUGAAUACGUUCCCGGGCCUUGUACACACCGCCCGUCAAGUCACCUGAAUUGUCUGCACCCAACGCCGGUGGCCCAACUCUUCGGAGAGGGAGCCGUCUAAGGUGUGGGGAGUAAGGGGGACUAAGUCGUAACAAGGUAGCCGUAUCGGAAGGUGCGGCUGGAUCACCUCCUUUCUAAGGA
rnacentral:rRNA from 1 species